rnacentral:lncRNA from 1 species
ACUCAUUCUUCAUGUUCAUCUCCUCCUCCUAAGUACACUAUAGUCAAGGACAACCAUGACUAUACGAGUGGCAUGAGACAUAUUAGUUUACCUUCGUGUACUUUUCAUCUGUCAUAAUGAAACUUUGAAACUUAUAUUCCAUUUAAUUCUAUUUGGCAUCUUAAACAAUACAUGAACAAACUACUCGAGAUCAAAGAGUAGCACAGUAAAAAUACUACUUACAUCUAAGAGAAAGGCUACAUCAAGUAGUAGAAUCUGCAUGGCAUGUGUGCUGACCUGGUCUGGAUGAUGUGAGUUAACAAUAUUGAACCCCUCUUAUGUCUAUGCUGCCCCUCUCAAACAUCUGCAACCAAAAAUAGAUGAGACCCAUAUAUUAAGACUACAAAAACGAAAGAUGAAACAUGUAAGGGCAUUUGGGCAUAGUACAGAAACACGCUGACUAGUCGCUUUG